GAUGAACGCUAGCGACAGGCCUAACACAUGCAAGUCGAGGGGCAUCGAGGUGGUAGCAAUACCACUGUCGGCGACCGGCGCACGGGUGAGUAACACGUAUGCAACCUGCCCAUAUCAGGGGGAUAAUCGGAAGAAAUUCCGUCUAAUACCGCGUAUAACGGAAGACCGGCAUCGGUUUUCCGUGAAAGGAGCGAUCCGGAUAUGGAUGGGCAUGCGGGACAUUAGCUAGUUGGGGGGGUAACGGCCCACCAAGGCGACGAUGUCUAGGGGUUCUGAGAGGAAGGUCCCCCACACUGGUACUGAGACACGGACCAGACUCCUACGGGAGGCAGCAGUGAGGAAUAUUGGUCAAUGGGCGCAAGCCUGAACCAGCCAAGUCGCGUGAGGGAAGAAGGUUCUAUGGAUUGUAAACCUCUUUUGUCAGGGAACAAGAAGAUUCACGAGUGGAUCAGUGAGGGUACCUGAAGAAAAAGCAUCGGCUAACUCCGUG
rnacentral:rRNA from 1 species